rnacentral:lncRNA from 1 species
AUAUUGUUAUGUGUGACUUUAAUACUGCCAUUUUGAUGCUAGCUGGCUGUUUUGCCCAUUAGUUGAUGCAGAUUCUUGUUUUUGUUGAUGCUCUUAAGUAUUUGGUAUGUUUUUAGAAUGGCUGGUACUGGUUGUUCCUUUCUAUGUGUAGUGCCUCUUUCAGGAGCUCUUGUAAAGCAGGCCUAGUGGUGACAAAAUCUCUGAGUACUUGCUUGUUUGCAAAGGAUUUUAUUUUUCCUUCACUUAUGAAGCUCAGUUUGGCUGGAUAUGAAAUUCUGGGUUGAAAGUUCUUUUCUUUAAGGAUGUUGAAUAUUGGCCCCCACUGAUGAGUUCAUGUCCUUUGUAGGGACAUGGACGAAUCUGGAGAACAUCAUCCUCAGCAAACUGACACAAGAACAGAAAAUGAAAUACCACAUAUUCUCACUCAUAGGCAGGGAGGACAACAUCAGUUGCUCUCAGGAGAUCUAACGGAGACAGGCUUAUCCAGAGCCUAGGUGAUUCAAACCCUGCAUUAUGUAACAAAACUGUUGAAAAUGCUACUUCUUUUAAAAAAUCUCUUAUAUUUUUCUGACACUUAGGUUUUCAAAUAAAUGCUAUUUUGAGAAAAUUAUGACCUUGCAUUUUA